rnacentral:rRNA from 1 species
GCUUACCAUGCAGUCGAGCGGGGGAAGGUAGCUUGCUACUGGACCUAGCGGCGGACGGGUGAGUAAUGCUUAGGAAUCUGCCUAUUAGUGGGGGACAACAUCUCGAAAGGGAUGCUAAUACCGCAUACGUCCUACGGGAGAAAGCAGGGGAUCUUCGGACCUUGCGCUAAUAGAUGAGCCUAAGUCGGAUUAGCUAGUUGGUGGGGUAAAGGCCUACCAAGGCGACGAUCUGUAGCGGGUCUGAGAGGAUGAUCCGCCACACUGGGACUGAGACACGGCCCAGACUCCUACGGGAGGCAGCAGUGGGGAAUAUUGGACAAUGGGGGGAACCCUGAUCCAGCCAUGCCGCGUGUGUGAAGAAGGCCUUAUGGUUGUAAAGCACUUUAAGCGAGGAGGAGGCUACUUUAGUUAAUACCUAGAGAUAGUGGACGUUACUCGCAGAAUAAGCACCGGCUAACUCUGUGCCAGCAGCCGCGGUAAUACAGAGGGUGCGAGCGUUAAUCGGAUUUACUGGGCGUAAAGCGUGCGUAGGCGGCUUAUUAAGUCGGAUGUGAAAUCCCCGAGCUUAACUUGGGAAUUGCAUUCGAUACUGGUGAGCUAGAGUAUGGGAGAGGAUGGUAGAAUUCCAGGUGUAGCGGUGAAAUGCGUAGAGAUCUGGAGGAAUACCGAUGGCGAAGGCAGCCAUCUGGCCUAAUACUGACGCUGAGGUACGAAAGCAUGGGGAGCAAACAGGAUUAGAUACCCUGGUAGUCCAUGCCGUAAACGAUGUCUACUAGCCGUUGGGGCCUUUGAGGCUUUAGUGGCGCAGCUAACGCGAUAAGUAGACCGCCUGGGGAGUACGGUCGCAAGACUAAAACUCAAAGGAAUUGACGG